rnacentral:rRNA from 1 species
AUUGAACGCUGGCGGCAGGCUUAACACAUGCAAGUCGAGCGGGGGAAGGUAGCUUGCUACCGGACCUAGCGGCGGACGGGUGAGUAAUGCUUAGGAAUCAGCCUAUUAGUGGGGGACAACAUCUCGAAAGGGAUGCUAAUACCGCAUACGUCCUACGGGAGAAAGCAGGGGAUCUUCGGACCUUGCGCUAAUAGAAGAGCCUAAGUCGGAUUAGCUAGUUGGUGGGGUAAAGGCCUACCAAGGCGACGAUCUGUAGCGGGUCUGAGAGGAUGAUCCGCCACACUGGGACUGAGACACGGCCCAGACUCCUACGGGAGGCAGCAGUGGGGAAUAUUGGACAAUGGGGGGAACCCUGAUCCAGCCAUGCCGCGUGUGUGAAGAAGGCCUUAUGGUUGUAAAGCACUUUAAGCGAGGAGGAGGCUACUUUAGUUAAUACCUAGAGAUAGUGGACGUUACUCGCAGAAUAAGCACCGGCUAACUCUGUGCCAGCCGCCGCAGUAA